rnacentral:tRNA from 2 species
GCCCACGUAGCUCAGUCGGUAGAGCACAUGCAUGGUAAGCCUGAGGUCACCGGUUCGAUUCCGGUCGUGGGCU